rnacentral:lncRNA from 1 species
AUGAAGGACCAGUUGGCUUUUUCUCAGCUGAAUGAUGGAAGCAGUAACGCCUGGCUCCUUCGCUUCGCAGUGCAACGUCAGCCUGAAGAAGCACAGGAACCGCAGCCUGCUCAGCUCCUUCUUCUGCUGCUUCCGGGACCACAGUGCGGAGGCCCCCCCGGCCAGCGGCCCCAGCGCGCUGCCGCCCCUGGUGGAGGAGAACGGCGGGCUCCAGAAGGUCAGUGCCGCGGGGGCUGCGCCCGGCCCCGCUGCUGGCCGCGUCCCUGCCCGUCCCCGGAAGGUGUCCUCGCACACAUGCGCACAUACAGGCAUGCACACACACACGCACACAUGCUCACACGCACAGUGCUGACGGGGGGCUGCGCCCAGCCCCGCUGGCGGCCGCAUCCCUGCCCGUCCCUGACAGGUGUCCUCGUGCACACGCACACACACACGUAACUGGAGAGCACACUUAGUGGGAGUUAUCAGAGUCACUUCACAUUUGUAUCACAUCCUCUUUCAAGAAGUUGAUGCGUGAAGUAGAGUUACAGACCCAUUGGGGCUGGCACUGGUGUUUGUGGCGUAGCAGGUAAGGCCACCUCCCGAGACGCUGGCAUUCUCUACGGGCGCCAGUUCGAGUCCUGGCUGCUCCACUUCCCAACCAGCUCCCUGCUAACGUGCCUGGGAAGAGCAGUGGAGGAGGGCCAAGUCUUCGUGCCCUCCGAUGGGAGACUUUGUGCCUGGGAGACUCAGAUGAAGCGCCAGGCUCCUGGCUUCGGCCUGGCCCAGCCCUGGCCGUGGCGGCCAUCUGGUGAGUGAACCGCUGGAUGGAAGAUCUGUCUCCAUCUCUACUCUCUGUAACUCUGACGUUCAAAAUAAGGAGCCAGCAGCAGACACACAAAUGGAAACCAGGGAGCCACGCACAGGGAAGAGCUGGCCAUCAAUAGAUCUGUAAUGCAGUGUGACUUCCUCGUGGAAUAGCAGUCAUGUGUUAAUAGUCCCUUGUAUGUAUCAGAUUUAAAAAUAGAAGUCAGUGGUCUGCGCCGCAGCUCAAUAGGCUAAUCCUCCACCUUGCGGCGCCGGCACACCGGGUUCUAGUCGGGGCGCCGGAUUCUGUCCCGGUUGCCCCUCUUCCAGGCCAGCUCUCUGCUGUGGCCCGGGAGUGCAGUGGAGGAUGGCCCAAGUGCUUGGGCCCUGCACCCCAUGGGAGACCAGGAGAAGCACCUGGCUCCUGCCUUCGGAUCAGCGCGAUGUGCCAGCCGCGGCGGCCAUUGGAGGGUGAACCAACAGAAAAGGAAGACCUUUCUCUCUCUCUCUCUCACUGUCCACUCUGCCUGUCAAAAAAAAAAAAAAUUAAAAAAAAUAGAAGUCAGAUCGUCACCACAGGUCAAGAACCAAAAUCUCUCCAGGUGCUGAUAGACACACCCCAGACAAAGGCGCACGGCGAGCAAUGAGAUUUAUGACGACGAACCCAGUGCAAAUGGUGGCAGCACAAACCUGUCAAAAGAGAAUUCUGGGUAAAAUCCGCUGGAAGAGGCACAGGGGAUUGUUUGCUUUAGGCUGAAGGUAGAGGACAGAAAGGUCAGAACACUUCAUGUCCCGAACGCCAGGAGCAGGGCGGGAAGACAGCUGGUCAGGUACGGGAGAAGCGGGGAGUGCUGCACGUGGUUAGCAAAGAAGUGCAGGCCAAGACCACGGCACCUUGGCCGCCAGUCACAUCACCAAACCCUCCUGCAGGCGAGGUUUGGAUUUAGCUCGGGGUGGCAGGGGCAGGUGAGGGUGCCGGGUGGUCGUGGGUAAGAGUGCGGCGUGGGUACAGCUCCGCUGGUGACCGUUUGGCCACCUGACCUCCACUGCUGUUUUGUUUUGGUUAUUCAGUGCCAUACUUGUACACUGUUACGGGGCACAUGCAGUUUUUCAGCAAGUGUACCCAGCAUAAGCUGACCCAGCAGUAAUUCCUUACACCUUAAACCUGUCUCUGGCUGUCAGUCAGGCCGGUCCACUUUAUGGACGAAACUGGGCAGCACCGGGCCUGGCGUUGUGGCACAGGGGGUGGACUGCCACUCGAGACAACAGCAUCUGACCCUGGAGAGCUGGCUGGGUCCUGGCCGCACUGCUUCCCACCCACUCCUGGGGAGGCAGCGGAAGAUGGCCCAGUGCCUGGCCUCUGCCACCCCGCUGGGGGACCAGAGAGCUCCAGGAUGGUGCCGGCCUGGCUGGGGCGGCCAUUUGGAGAGUGAAGCAGCAGAUGGAAGACCUCUGGCUCUCUGCCUUUGAAAUAAACAAAUCGACAAAUCCUUUUUUUAUUUAUGA